AUUGAACGCUGGCGGCAGGCCUAACACAUGCAAGUCGAGCGAGCGGCGGACGGGUGAGUAAUGUAUGGGGACUUCCCGAUACAGGGGGAUAACAACUGGAAACGGUGGCUAAUACCGCAGACUGUCGGAUAACCCAUAUGGGAUUAGCUAGUAGGUAAGGUAAUGGCUUACCUAGGCGACGAUCCCUAGCUGGUCUGAGAGGAUGAUCAGCCACACUGGGACUGAGACACGGCCCAGACUCCUACGGAGGCAGCAGUGGGGAAUAUUGCACAAUGGGCGCAAGCCUGAUGCAGCCAUGCCGCGGGUAUGAAGAAGGCCCUAGGGUUGUAAAGUACUUUCAGUCGGGAGGCGUUACCGACAGAAGAAGCAACGGCUAACUCCGUGCCAGCAGCCGCGGUAAUAC
rnacentral:rRNA from 1 species